rnacentral:rRNA from 1 species
CCUACGGGAGGCAGCAGUGAGGAAUAUUGGUCAAUGGUCGCGAGCCUGAACCAGCCAAGUAGCGUGAAGGAUGACUGCCCUACGGGUUGUAAACUUCUUUUAUAAAGGAAUAAAGUGAGGCACGUGUGCCUUUUUGUAUGUAUUUUAUGAAUAAGGAUCGGCUAACUCCGUGCCAGCAGCCGCGGUAAUACGGAGGAUUCGAGCGUUAUCCGGAUUUAUUGGGUUUAAAGGGAGCGUAGAUGGGUUGUUAAGUCAGUUGUGAAAGUUUGGGGCUCAACCGUAAAAUUGCAAUUGAUACUGGCAGCCUUGAGUAGAGGUGAGGGAGGCGGAAUGCGUGGUGGAGCGGUGAAAUGCUUAGAUAUCACGAAGAACUCCGAUUGCGAAGGCAGCAUACUAAACUGCCACUGACAUUGAUGCUCGAAAGUGUGGGUAUCAAACAGGAUUAGAUACCCGAGUAGUC